ensembl:lncRNA
ACGCUUUCGUUAGCUCCACAACUUGCUGGGCAGCUGAGCCACUUUCCCAUAUGACUUCCCAUGGCUGAGCAUCCCAAAUCUCCUCCUGACAGCACCAAGCUUGACCUGCUGACAACGCACCGCGCUCACCCCAUGUGCUGCAGGACGCGCUUUCUGUGCUUCGAGAACCCUUCCGAGAGGGUCUCCGCCCCUCUCCUCCCCCCCCACCCCCCGGUCCUCCCCACGCUCCCAGCCGUGCCAGGAGCCGCGCGUUCGGCCGGCAGCGCCGUGGCGGUGGGGUUGCACAACAGCGCUGGCAUUUGCGGGGCCACCUCUGCCAACUUCGCACAGACGGAGGAAUACGGCGCUGCUGGGCUGAUAGCCGCCCGCACGAGAUGUUGUUGCAGUUCCUGUAUUGCCAGAUCCUGGAGAGGAGUUAAAGGAAACCACAGCCUGGUGCUGAGAGCAGAUUGAGAUCUUGUGGCUGCUGCAGGAAGCCUGCUCCCAGGUAUCUUCCAGCAGAGAGCAUACAGCCUGCAGCAAGUUCCUAAGCUGGCAGGUGCCUUGUUCCAUCCCAGGCUCAUGGUUAUCACAGCUGCUUGCUGUCUAGGGCAGCCUCACACUGGAGAAAGUGAUGGGAGAAAGCAGCCGGGGUGACACACAGCAGUGUGUGCACGGCAUGGCCACACACCGUGCAGCAUGCUAGGCAUCCCCCCACAAGCAGACCAGUAUGGUGGAUGAGAACGUGGCUUUGGAGCUAAUGGGACUGAGACAAGCACCGAGAGCUGACCCUGCUCUCACCUCCAUGGCUCUGAGCGUUGUGGAUGCAGAAGAUAUCCCUGCUGUGUCCACCCUCUAAGCUGAGGGACCACAUCGAUGCCACUGCACAGAGCAGGAGGCACCUGGCCAAGCAGGGAUGGUGAAUGGAGCAGCGUGGAGCACGCGGUCGGUGACUCAGCUGUGACCUGGCUGCACCAACCCCAGCCUUUCGCAACGUGUUUACCAGGAUGCAGGCAGCCUUUGCUGCGCAUGAAGGGCGGCCUCAGCCCCAAACCUGCUUGCCAGGCUCCCCACCCCACGCUGCUCUGCUCCUGUAAGUGAUGCCCGUGCUGAGGUCAGGCAGCGUCCUCCCAGCGCAGCCAAAAUCAUCCUAAACACAGCCCCGUGGGAGGUGGUGGCACACUGUGGUGGUGUAUCAUUGCAGGGAGGAUGGCAGAAAUUCCCCUGCUUUCCUGAUGCCCUUUGCUGAGCUGUGUCCCAGCCACCCCCCACCUCCUGCAGCUCUCACGUACGUGUCCCAGGUGGGCAGAGCACAGAAAACCAUGGGCAAAUCCCUUCUGACAGAGGAUUUUGGAGCAAAAGGCAUAGUUUUGAAAGUUUUCCCUGGAGGAAAGCCAAGGGCAACAGAUCCGAGCCAUAUUCUGUUUUGUUUCUACAUCUUGUGGAGUCUGAGAUGGGAAAUGGCGGUGCCCCAAAGUCCUGGAGGGGGUGAAUGCAGAUUUGUGAUUGCAGCGCUGCCAGGGAUGAGCAAGAAUCGGCCAUCAGCGCUCCUGCAGCCACUGAGACUGAGCCCACCCAUGGGCAGGACAUGUGGGGACCCCACGAAAGAGGUCUGAGGUCCAUCAGGCAAUUCUGGCACGGCCACACCGAUCCUUGCUGCACUGCGCGCCGCAGAGCACUGCAGAGCGAUGCUACCAUUUCCAAGAGUGCUGCUUGUGUGUGACCACGAGGACUCUGCCCAGAUGCCCAUUUUCCAGUAGCUAAACUUAAAUCUCAGCUCCUGGUUGAGCAAACCGUGUGUGCCC